rnacentral:rRNA from 1 species
UACGUAGGGUGCAAGCGUUGUCCGGAAUCAUUGGGCGUAAAGCGCGCGUAGGCGGCCCGAUAAGUCCGCUGUAAAAGUCAACGGCUCAACUGUUGAAAGCCGGUGGAUACUGUCGGGCUAGAGUACGGAAGAGGCAAGUGGAAUUCCUGGUGUAGCGGUGAAAUGCGUAGAUAUCAAGAGGAACACCUGAGGGGAAGACGGGUUGCUGGGCCAACACUGACGCUGAGGCGCGAAAGCCAGGGGAGCAAACGGG